rnacentral:rRNA from 1 species
GACGAACGCUGGCGGCGUGCUUAACACAUGCAAGUCGAACGAGAAAGCCCUUCGGGGUAAGUACAGUGGCGAACGGGUGAGUAACACGUGGGCAACCUGCCCCAGAGAGCGGGACAACCCGGGGAAACCCGGGCUAAUACCGCAUGAUGCGUCUCCACUUAAGUGGAGCCGCCAAAUGGUAGCUUCGGCCUCCGCUCUGGGAUGGGCCCGCGCCGGAUUAGCUAGUUGGUUGGGGUAAUGGCCCACCAAGGCGACGAUCCGUAGCUGGUCUGGAAGGGCGGUCAGCCGCACGGGGACUGAGACACGGCCCAGGCUCCAAUGGGAGGGAGCAGUGGGGAAUCUUGCGCAAUGGGCGAAAGCCUGACGCAGCAACGCCGCGUGGGGGAAGAAGGCCUUCGGGUUGUAAACCUCUUUCAGUAGGGACGAAGCUUCCGGGGUUAAUAGCCUACGGGGUGACGGUACCUACAGAAGAAGCCCCGGCUAACUACGUGCCAGCAGCCGCCGUAA